rnacentral:rRNA from 1 species
GACGAAGGAUGCAGGCGUUAUCCGGAUUCAUUGGGUUUAAAGGGAGCGUAGGCGGCCUUAUAAGUCAGUGGUGAAAUCUCCUCGCUUAACGAGGAAAUUGCCAUUGAUACUGUAGGGCUUGAGUACAGUUGCCGUUGGCGGAAUAUGACAUGUAGUGGUGAAAUACAUAGAGAUGUCAUAGAACACCGAUUGCGAAGGCAGCUAACGAAGCUGUAACUGACGCUGAGGCUCGAAAGUGCGGGGAUCAAACAGG